rnacentral:rRNA from 1 species
CCUACGGGAGACAGCAGUGGGGAAUAUUGCACAAUGGGGGAAACCCUGAUGCAGCGACGCCGCGUGAGUGAAGAAGUAAUUCGUUACGUAAAGCUCUAUCAGCAGGGAAGAAAAUGACGGUACCUGAGCAAGAAGCCGCGGCUAACUACGUGCCAGCAGCCGCGGUAAUACGUAGGGGGCAAGCGUUAUCCGGAUUUACUGGGUGUAAAGGGAGCGUAGACGGUGCGCCAAGUCUGGAGUGAAAUGCCGGGGCUUAACUGCGGAACUGCCUUUGAAACUGGCGAACUCGAGUGCGGGAGGGGUAAGCGGAAUGCCUGGUGUAGCGGUGAAAUGCGUAGAUAUUAGGAGGAACACCGGUGGCGAAGGCGGCUUACUGGACCGUAACUGACGUUGAGGCUCGAAAGCGUGGGGAGCAAACAGGAUUAGAUACCCGGGUAGUC